AAGAUUCUGCUGGAUCACACAAGAAGAUAUCGUACGCUUCCUCCUCGGGUGCAUCGCCGCGUUCUCUCCUCUGCCUUCGAUGUCAAUCUCCGAUCUCGGUAUCAUCAACAGCUCGCACGCAAUUCUCGCCGUCGACUACAACUCCUCCGCCUCCGCCGUCGUCUCCGCCAUCUCCCGCGCUCUCGCCGACCAAACCUCCGUCGCGGUUGUCGACAACGAGGGAGAUGAUUCACUGAUGUACCUGAUCGGAGAAAUCUCUCCGAUGACACUGACUUGCUGCGACGAGACAGCUGCGGCGGCGGGGGGGACGCUCUCCGCCGGGUACUUGAUGGAGUACUUAGACGGUGUGAAUCCGCCGGAGAGCCUCGUCCAGGAAGUGAGAGAGCGUCUGGAGAGCAAGGGACAGAUUGGUUUGCUCUCGCUUUUGGAUACUCUCUCGCUCUCGUCGUCGCCGACGUCGGGGUACUCGUCGCCACCAAGAAGAGACAGCAAAACGACAACGUUUCACACACCACCACCACCACCCACUCGAACGGACAAAGAUUCUGCUGGAUCACACAAGAAGAUAUCGUACGCUUCCUCCUCGGGUGCAUCGCCGCGUUCUCUCCUCUGCCUUCGAUGUCAAUCUCCGAUCUCGGUAUCAUCAACAGCUCGCACGCAAUUCUCGCCGUCGACUACAACUCCUCCGCCUCCGCCGUCGUCUCCGCCAUCUCCCGCGCUCUCGCCGACCAAACCUCCGUCGCGGUUGUCGACAACGAGGGAGAUGAUUCACUGAUGUACCUGAUCGGAGAAAUCUCUCCGAUGACACUGACUUGCUGCGACGAGACAGCUGCGGCGGCGGUGGCGACGCUCUCCGCCGGGUACUUGAUGGAGUACUUAGACGGUGUGAAUCCGCCGGAGAGCCU
rnacentral:lncRNA from 1 species